GUCUGUUAUUGUGAAAAGAAAAUGAACCAAUAAAGAUACAACUUUUGUAUAGUUACCACAUCCGGGUCUUUUGCGUCCUUAGAUACCAGUCCAAAAUAAAAAAAAACAGUACCACGCCUGCCUCAUCAGCUGCUAUCAGAGCGUCAAGGGCAAGGCAUCGAUGGAUAUUAUGAGAGGCAGUUUAGAUUAAAUCUCCCGCCCGGCAUCCAGCGAGAGUUCUCGGCCUGGCGGCAGCCAUGUGUCAGCUGUGUCACUGCCUGAAGUCGGGAGAGUUUGUCACCCCAGCCCAACGUCCCUGGUGGUCCUGAGCGAUGAUGUCCCCAACAAUAAGCAGGACCAUGCGGACGCCUCAGAGCAGGUGGGUAGGCUGUUUUCCAGUUUCAGCCAGCUGGAUUUAGGACCGCACUGACACCACAGAGGGGUGCAGACAGGCUUUGUGAAGGCAAAGCUUCUGAAAGUCUGGCGUAUAGUACCAGCACGGGAGAGAUGAAUAGAGGCAGCUGCUGCUGUCUGUGUUGCGCUUUUUCUUCGAGUUGUAAAAACAAGCAGAGCAGAAACGGACUACUCUUUAGUUGACUGGUCUAGAUGGCAAGCUGUAUGUGACCCUGGCGGAAAAAAACUUAUCAAGCCAAACCAAAUUGUUGUCACCAUAUUAGGUAAAGUAACGUCAUAGUGUAAUAAAUACCAUUUAAAAUAACACAAGCAUAUUGCUAUUACAUUGUUAUAACUAACUUCUUUCUAAGCAGGGUUUCUCACACACCCAAAGACAGAUGGCUGGCACAGACCUUUCAUAAACACUGAUAAGGAAAGGCCUUGAUCAAAAGAGUGCUUGGGUCCGCAUUUCACGAGAUAAUAAGACACACACACACAUACCCAAGGACGGAGGGCUGACUACGCACACACAAAAUCUCCUGUUUAGCUGAACAUUUGAUAACAAAGAACUUUUGCUAUAAGACUCAGAAGGAUGACGCCCAGCUCAUCAGGACCAAUCUGAGAAGACAACAACCUGUCCAGAACCAACCAAAGGACCAGAACUUCCAGACUCAACCUACUUUCUGUGUUGUAUAAAAUGUCUAUGCAUUCUGUUAUCUGGGCUUUUUCUGGAGAUUCUCUAUGAGCCGAAGGAACGAGACCGUAUACGCUUGUACCAGAUAUCUUUACUCAUAAUUAAACUGUCGCUUGUCAUACAAUUUA